rnacentral:tRNA from 1 species
CGGAGUGUAGCGCAGCCUGGUAGCGCACUCGCCUGGGGGGCGAGGGGUCGGAGGUUCAAGUCCUCUCACUCCGACCA